rnacentral:misc_RNA from 1 species
UUUUGAGCCAAAGUUCCAGUCAUUACUUGCAAUAAAACAAAGUACAUAUCCUCAAUGAUAAAAAGGCAAAGUAUGUCUUACAACAGAAAGUAUGUCUUACAAUAGAAAGAACACAAAUCUUUUUGAGUUUUGACUAAAAAGUCGUACAUAUUUCUUUCUUGCAUAACACAAAAUCUCAAAAAUUUUCUUUCACAAAUUGUAAGCAAGGGUCUACAAGUCAUAACAUACAUGUAAAAAGUAUGUUUUAUAACAGAAAGAUUACAGGAAUGUUUUUGGGUAUUGACUAAAAACAACAUAAAUAUUUUCUCACCAUGAAGAAAGAUAUUGUCAAGAAUCUAAUAAAGCUACCAACUGCAAACACUCUAGAGUUGGAACUUCCAACUGGAGAUCUGCACGUUUUAUGAAAAAAUAUACCCUGCAGAAUCUGUAAGAUAAUUCCAGGUAAAUAAGCUAACACUAGGUAAUAUAUGAACUAUUACAUAGAGAAGUAAGUUCAAAAAUUUCAACAAAAAAAAAAAAGUCACUCUGUACAAGUUAGUUCACCUCAUAAAAUCUUUAGUUUCUUUGAUUCAUGGUUUAAUUUUUCAAAACACAGCAUUAGACACCAAGUUUUCACUUAAUUUUGAGUAAAAAAAAUUAAAAUGAAAGGCAAUGGAUUCAUAAGAAAAACCUAACAAAUUCAACAAAGUUAUGCACAUUGUUUGCUGGGGAGGAGUUUGCAAAUCUGCGGUUAGAGCUUCUUAUGGUAAAUAGUUGCACCUCAAGCAUCUAGCAGAAGCUCAAAUAUUAGAAAAUAAGGAUGGUGAAUGAGUGAAAAACGUAACAGAAGAAAAUCCAUUGAAGCAUAAAAAAAUAUCAACCACACACCACUGCCAUUAAACAAGGACAAAGUAAUAAUUAAAAUCAAUUUCUCCACCAUUGAAUAAUAAAUAACAAGAAUGAAUCAUUUCACUUCCUUUAAGUUAUUUAUUCCAGUUCGUUGAGAACCACAUAACCAUAAUAAUGAAGAACUCACGGUGUAAUUACUAGAACUCCCAUUGGACACCUUAGCCUGCAGCUCAAGUACGAUGUUUCCAAAUAUCAAAAUAAAUCACCAGCUAAGAGUAAACAAAUUUUCGAAGUUAUGGGGACACCCAAUUACCAACAUUCAACAAUAACAACUAAACCUUAGCCCUAAACUAGUUCGGAUUGCUAUAUAUAAAUACAUGGAUCUUUUUGUCAUUCAGGUGUUUGAGACCAAUUCCACAUUAACAUUAAUAUUCAAAAGAAAAUCUAAAUUAGGUUUUCAAAACUGAUUCAUAUUGAACGCCAGGUUAGCCUCAAUGCAAAAUGUAAAUUAAAAAAAAAAGUUCAUAAUCGUAAACAAAAUGAAAAUUGCAUAAGAUGGGAAUUCAUGUCAUUCAGCUCACAAAAUCACUAUAAAUCUACAAAUUCAUACACAACUCCAGAAGUUAAAAACUUUCUUCCCCCAAAGCGGUUUUGGGCUCUCCUAUCAAACGAAAACCUGGACACAUUGUCCUCAAUUGCAGAAAAAUAUAGAAGGAAGUGGAUUCGGAAAAUUACCUGACAAAAAUGAAAGUAAGAAUGAGGGAGAGGGGAUAAAAAUCAGACUCCAACCAUCUUGAAGAGAAUGAAGCAGAGAAAUGCAAGGAAGAUAAAAAGGAAUAAGUAAUCUACAAAAACGAAGAAAUUGGUUGACCCCUGAUUUCUUUUCUUCUUGUUCUUGUUGAUAUUGAGUUGUUUUGGUUCAUCGUCUGGCGUUUCAAGCUUGGCCAUUUCGUCAAAAUUGGUGAUUUAUCAGAGAUGGAUCUCUAGUCUAGGGUUGCAAUAUGAGAUCUUGGGGAACUGGGCUUGCUUCUGAA